CUACGUGCCAGCAGCCGCGGUAAUACGUAGGGCGCGAGCGUUGUCCGGAAUUAUUGGGCGUAAAGAGCUUGUAGGCGGUUUGUCGCGUCUGCUGUGAAAGGCCGGGGCUUAACUCCGUGUAUUGCAGUGGGUACGGGCAGACUAGAGUSCAGUAGGGGAGACUGGAAUUCCUGGUGUAGCGGUGGAAUGCGCAGAUAUCAGGAGGAACACCGAUGGCGAAGGCAGGUCUCUGGGCUGUAACUGACGCUGAGAAGCGAAAGCAUGGGGAGCGAACAGGAUUAGAUACCCUGGUAGUCCAUGCCGUAAACGUUGGGCACUAGGUGUGGGGGACAUUCCACGUUUUCCGCGCCGUAGCUAACGCAUUAAGUGCCCCGCCUGGGGAGUACGGCCGCAAGGCUAAAACUCAAAGAAAUUGACGGGGGCCCGCACAAGCGGCGGAGCAUGCGGAUUAACUCGAUGCAACGCGAAGAACCUUACCAAGGCCUGACAU
rnacentral:rRNA from 1 species